rnacentral:rRNA from 1 species
GACGAACGCUGGCGGCGUGCUUAACACAUGCAAGUCGAACGGAAAGGCCCUGCUUUUGUGGGGUGCUCGAGUGGCGAACGGGUGAGUAACACGUGAGUAACCUGCCCUUGACUUUCGGAUAACUUCAGGAAACUGGGGCUAAUACCGGAUAGGAGCUCCUGCUGCAUGGUGGGGGUUGGAAAGUUUCGGCGGUUGGGGAUGGACUCGCGGCUUAUCAGCUUGUUGGUGGGGUAGUGGCUUACCAAGGCUUUGACGGGUAGCCGGCCUGAGAGGGUGACCGGCGACAUUGGGACUAAGAGAGGGCCCAGACUGCAAUGGGAGGCAGUGGUGGGGAAUAUGACACAGUGAGCGGAAGCCUGAGACAGAGACGCCGCGUGCGGGAUGACGGCCUUCGGGUUAUGAACCGCUUUCGCCUGUGACGAAGCGUGAGUGACGGUAAUGGGUAAAGAAGCACCGGCUAACUACGUG